rnacentral:snoRNA from 12 species
GUGCAAUGAUGUAUUUGCCAACACAUCAUUCUGAAGAAAAGUAUGUGUGGUGACUUUUUAUCACUGAGCACA